rnacentral:ncRNA from 1 species
GAAAGCCGUAUGCGGGAAAACCGCACGUACGGUUUGAUGAGGGAGGGCAGGGGAGAGCCUGUUCUCUACUCUAC